UACGGAGGGUGCGAGCGUUAAUCGGAAUCACUGGGCGUAAAGCGCGCGUAGGCGGCUAUGUAAGUCAGGCGUGAAAGCCCUCGGCUCAACCGGGGAACUGCGUUUGAAACUGCAUGGCUUGAGUUCGGGAGAGGGUAGCGGAAUUCCGGGUGUAGGAGUGAAAUCCGUAGAUAUCCGGAGGAACACCGGUGGCGAAGGCGGCUACCUGGACCGAUACUGACGCUGAGGUGCGAAAGCGUGGGGAG
rnacentral:rRNA from 1 species